rnacentral:rRNA from 1 species
GACGAACGCUGGCGGCGCGCCUAACACAUGCAAGUCGAACGGAAAGGCCACGCUUUUGUGGGGUGCACGAGUGGCGACGGGGUGAGUAACACGUGAGUACCUUGCCCUCGCUUUUGGGAUACCUCCAGGAACCUGGGGCUAAAACCGGAAAGGAGCUCCUGCUGCAUGGCGGCGGUGGGAAAGUUUCGGCGGUUGGGGAUGGACUCGCGGCUUUUCAGCUUGUUGGUGGGGUAGUGGCUUACCAAGGCAUUGAUGGGUAGCUGGCUUGAGAGGGUGACCGGCCACAUUGGGCUUGGGAUACGGCCCGGACCCCUACGGGAGGCAGCAGGGGGGAAUAUUGCACAAGGGGCGGAGGCCUGAUGCAGCAAGGCGGCGUGCGGGAUAACGGCCUUGGGUUUGUAAACCGCUUCCGCCUGGGACGGAGCGUGAGUGACGGUAAUUGGUGAAGAAGCACCGGCUAACUACGUG